rnacentral:rRNA from 1 species
AAGGGGACUUCGGUCCCUGAGUAGAGCGGCGCACGGGUGAGUAACGCGUGGAUAAUCUACCCAGAUGUUCGGGAUAACGGCGGGAAACUGCCGCUAAUACCGGAUACGAUCCAAUUUCGGUUGGGUGAAAGGCGGCCUCUGCUUGCAAGCUGUCGCAUCUGGAUGAGUCCGCGUCCCAUUAGCUUGUUGGUGGGGUAAUGGCCUACCAAGGCUACGAUGGGUAGCUGGUCUGAGAGGAUGAUCAGUCACACUGGAACUGAAACACGGUCCAGGCUCCUACGGGAGGCAGCAGUGGGGAAUAUUGCGCAAUGGGGGAAACCCUGACGCAGCGACGCCGUGUGAGGGAAGAAGGCUUUCGGGUCGUAAACCUCUGUCGGGAGGGAAGAACCUUCCAGGCCUGAAUAAGUCCUGGAACUGACGGUACCUCCAAAGGAAGCACCGGCUAACUCCGUGCCAGCAGCCGCGGUAAUACGGAGGGUGCAAGCGUUAAUCGGAAUCACUGGGCGUAAAGCGCGCGUAGGCGGUCUUUUAAGUCGGACGUGAAAGCCCUCGGCUCAACCGGGGAACUGCGUUCGAAACUGGGAGACUUGAGUCCUGGAGAGGGUGGCGGAAUUCCGGGUGUAGGAGUGAAAUCCGUAGAUAUCCGGAGGAACACCGGUGGCGAAGGCGGCCACCUGGGCAGGUACUGACGCU